ensembl:miRNA microRNA 302b
GCUCCCUUCCACUCUAACGUGGAGGCACUUUCUGGCCUUGCGACAACAGUAAGUGCUUCCAUGUUUUAGUAGAAGU